GACGAACGCUGGCGGCGUGCUUAACACAUGCAAGUCGAACGGAAAGGCCCUGCUUUUGUGGGGUGCUCGAGUGGCGAACGGGUGAGUAACACGUGAGUAACCUGCCCUUGACUUUGGGAUAACUUCAGGAAACUGGGGCUAAUACCUGAUAGGAGCUCCUGCUGCCUGGUGGGGGUUGGAAAGUUUCGGCGGUUGGGGAUGGACUCGCGGCUUAUCAGCUUGUUGGUGGGGUAGUGGCUUACCAAGGCUUUGACGGGUAGCCGGCCUGAGAGGGUGACCGGCCACAUUGGGACUGAGAUACGGCCCAGACUCCUACGGGAGGCAGCAGUGGGGAAUAUUGCACAAUGGGCGGAAGCCUGAUGCAGCAACGCCGCGUGCGGGAUGACGGCCUUCGGGUUGUAAACCGCUUUCGCCUGUGACGAAGCGUGAGUGACGGUAAUGGGUAAAGAAGCACCGGCUAACUACGUG
rnacentral:rRNA from 1 species